AAGGUUACACUGUCUCCUUUUUCUAAUCAGUAAAACUAAUCUCCCCGUGAAGAAGCGGGGAUCCUUAUAUAAGACGAGAAGACCCUAUGGAGCUUUAAACGAAAUAACAUCUACCAACUCAACCAACAAUUUCAGAAAAUUAACACUAAACUUGGUAUAAUGAUUACUAGUUUUAGGUUGGGGUGACCGCGGAGCAAAAAACAACCUCCGCAUUGAAUGGACUUACACUCCUAAACAAAAAGCCACAACUUUAUGUAUCAAUAUAUUGACAUCCAUUGACCCAUUAAUUUGAUCAACGAACCAAGUUACCCUAGGGAUAACAGCGCAAUCCAUUUCAAGAGCCCCUAUCGACAAAUGG
rnacentral:rRNA from 1 species